AAAUUGAAGAGUUUGAUCAUGGCUCAGAUUGAACGCUGGCGGCAGGCCUAACACAUGCAAGUCGAGCGGAAACGAGUUAUCUGAACCUUCGGGGAACGAUAACGGCGUCGAGCGGCGGACGGGUGAGUAAUGCCUAGGAAAUUGCCCUGAUGUGGGGGAUAACCAUUGGAAACGAUGGCUAAUACCGCAUGAUGCCUACGGGCCAAAGAGGGGGACCUUCGGGCCUCUCGCGUCAGGAUAUGCCUAGGUGGGAUUAGCUAGUUGGUGAGGUAAGAGCUCACCAAGGCGACGAUCCCUAGCUGGUCUGAGAGGAUGAUCAGCCACACUGGAACUGAGACACGGUCCAGACUCCUACGGGAGGCAGCAGUGGGGAAUAUUGCACAAUGGGCGCAAGCCUGAUGCAGCUAUGCCGCGUGUGUGAAGAAGGCCUUCGGGUUGUAAAGCACUUUCAGUCGUGAGGAAGGUAGUGUAGUUAAUAGCUGCAUUAUUUGACGUUAGCGACAGAAGAAGCACCGGCUAACUCCGUGCCAGCAGCCGCGGUAAUACGGAGGGUGCGAGCGUUAAUCGGAAUUACUGGGCGUAAAGCGCAUGCAGGUGGUUUGUUAAGUCAGAUGUGAAAGCCCGGGGCUCAACCUCGGAAUAGCAUUUGAAACUGGCAGACUAGAGUACUGUAGAGGGGGGUAGAAUUUCAGGUGUAGCGGUGAAAUGCGUAGAGAUCUGAAGGAAUACCGGUGGCGAAGGCGGCCCCCUGGACAGAUACUGACACUCAGAUGCGAAAGCGUGGGGAGCAAACAGGAUUAGAUACCCUGGUAGUCCACGCCGUAAACGAUGUCUACUUGGAGGUUGUGGCCUUGAGCCGUGGCUUUCGGAGCUAACGCGUUAAGUAGACCGCCUGGGGAGUACGGUCGCAAGAUUAAAACUCAAAUGAAUUGACGGGGGCCCGCACAAGCGGUGGAGCAUGUGGUUUAAUUCGAUGCAACGCGAAGAACCUUACCUACUCUUGACAUCCAGAGAACUUUCCAGAGAUGGAUUGGUGCCUUCGGGAACUCUGAGACAGGUGCUGCAUGGCUGUCGUCAGCUCGUGUUGUGAAAUGUUGGGUUAAGUCCCGCAACGAGCGCAACCCUUAUCCUUGUUUGCCAGCGAGUAAUGUCGGGAACUCCAGGGAGACUGCCGGUGAUAAACCGGAGGAAGGUGGGGACGACGUCAAGUCAUCAUGGCCCUUACGAGUAGGGCUACACACGUGCUACAAUGGCGCAUACAGAGGGCGGCCAACUUGCGAAAGUGAGCGAAUCCCAAAAAGUGCGUCGUAGUCCGGAUUGGAGUCUGCAACUCGACUCCAUGAAGUCGGAAUCGCUAGUAAUCGUGGAUCAGAAUGCCACGGUGAAUACGUUCCCGGGCCUUGUACACACCGCCCGUCACACCAUGGGAGUGGGCUGCAAAAGAAGUAGGUAGUUUAACCUUCGGGGGGACGCUUACCACUUUGUGGUUCAUGACUGGGGUGAAGUCGUAACAAGGUAGCGCUAGGGGAACCUGGCGCUGGAUCACCUCCUUAAACGAUGAU
rnacentral:rRNA from 1 species